GUCUUUAUAGUGUAAUUGCACGGCAUAUUUUCAUUUUGCAAGAAUUCAUUCUAGAAUUAAAGGUU
rnacentral:tRNA from 1 species